CCUACGGGUGGCAGCAGUAGGGAAUAUUGCUCAAUGGGGGAAACCCUGAAGCAGCAACGCCGCGUGGAGGAUGAAGGUUUUCGGAUUGUAAACUCCUUUUGUUAGAGAAGAUAAUGACGGUAUCUAACGAAUAAGCACCGGCUAAUACCGUGCCAGCAGCCGCGGGAAUACGGAGGGUGCAAGCGUUAUUCGGAAUAACUGGGCGUAAAGAGCGCGUAGGCGGGAUAGCAAGUCAGAUGUGAAAUCCUAUGGUUUAAACAUAGAACUGCAUUUGAAACUGUGAUUCUGGAGUAUGGGAGAGGUAGGUGGAAUUCGUGGUGGAGGGGUGAAAUGCGUAGAGAUCAAGAGGAAUACUCAUUGCGAAGGCGACCUACUGGAACAUAACUGACGCUGAUGCGCGAAAGCGUGGGGAGCAAACAGGAUUAGAUACCCUAGUAGUC
rnacentral:rRNA from 1 species